rnacentral:tRNA from 1 species
GCGGCUGUAGCUCAGUUGGUAGAGCUCCUGGUUGUGGUCCAGGCGGUCGUGGGUUCAAGUCCCACCAGUCGCCCA